GAAAUGCGAUACGUAAUGCGAAUUGCAAGACCUCGUGAAUCAUUAAGAUUUUGAACGCACAUUGCGCUUUCGGGAUUUUCCCGGUAGCAUGCUUGUCUGAGUGUCUGUGAACCCCACUCAGCGCUGGUUGAAUAUUUAUGUUUUUCCGGUAGCUGGAAUUUGCCUUUGACUGAAUAUUUGUAUUGAGUCUCUGGUCAAGUAUGUUUGUAGACAGGUGCUUUUGUUCAGUCCAAUACUAUGGUGUUUCACCGUGUUAAUUGGAAUCGAGCUUUGAACGUCCGUCUUAUCUCCGGUAAGCAAGUCUGACUUGUGGAAGGAGUUAUAGUACGGAAGUUGAUUGUUUGUUUUCUAUUACGGUGUAAGUACUUUUGGACUGUAUAUUUGCCCGUAUCACUUGAAGACUUUGUGUUUUGUCGUGAUAUCUUCUUUCCGGAUCUCAAAUCAAGCAAGAGGACCCGCCGAAUUUAAGCAUAUAAUUAAGCGGAGGAAAAGAAACUAACCAGGAUUCCCCU
rnacentral:rRNA from 1 species